AACGAACGCUGGCGGCAUGCCUAACACAUGCAAGUCGAACGAGAUCUUCGGGUCUAGUGGCGCACGGGUGCGUAACGCGUGGGAAUCUGCCCUUUGGUUCGGAAUAACAGUUGGAAACGACUGCUAAUACCGGAUGAUGACGAAAGUCCAAAGAUUUAUCGCCAGAGGAUGAGCCCGCGUAGGAUUAGCUAGUUGGUGUGGUAAAGGCGCACCAAGGCGACGAUCCUUAGCUGGUCUGAGAGGAUGAUCAGCCACACUGGGACUGAGACACGGCCCAGACUCCUACGGGAGGCAGCAGUGGGGAAUAUUGGACAAUGGGCGAAAGCCUGAUCCAGCAAUGCCGCGUGAGUGAUGAAGGCCUUAGGGUUGUAAAGCUCUUUUACCCGGGAUGAUAAUGACAGUACCACCAGAAGAAGCCCCGGCUAACUCCGUGCCAGCAGCCGCCGUAA
rnacentral:rRNA from 1 species